GUACUACGAGUUACUGCAGGAACAAAGUGUAGAGAGAGCGGCGGCAGUCCAGCCCAUCCUCCUGAGGAAGAGGAGGAUGUGCUCACUCACAGCUGCAGCUUCCGGAAACUAGACAGCAGCAGACUGCACAGAGACAGGACGUGUACAGUUUCACAAAAGUGCCCUGCUGGCAAAGCAAGUCUGUGCUUCAGUGUUGGCGUCGAUAUCUGAUGGUGAAUCUUGGUCUUCAGACACGCGGAUGGACUGUACACACUACUGCACGCCUUCACGGCCAGCCUUCCUCACCGACCGUCCACACGGUUGUCCUCGUGUUUGGGAGCUGUUGGCGGGAGUCAGAGAGGACCUAUGUGCCCGAGGAUCAUUUCAGAGAGACACAGAGCACUUCGCUCUCCAUUCACAGUUUGUGUCUGAGACUUUGAGAACUGAGGAUCACAGAGACAGCAAUAGAUGUGACAAGGAAGGUGGACUGUACACACGACUGCGCACCAACAGGGUUUCCUCCUGCCACCUUUCCUCCCCAGCCGUCCCUGAAUCGACGCCGUAGCCUGACGCGCACCUCCCCAGAAAUAUGUGUGGCAGCAACACGGACCUCCUGUCUAUUUUUGUAAGCUGUUAGAUAUCAUGAGUUACACACUUUAUAUCUUAACUUUAUACAUGUUAUGAGUUUGUUGUCCGUUCACACAUAAUAUUUUUUUCCUUAUCGUACAUACCUUAUAUUUUUCAGUUUCAGCCACUGUAUGUGCAGGUUUGUCUCGAUAUAUAACAAUUCUUAUUAUAUUUGUCUGUUGUUUCCUUUUUAUUUAUUUGGCAUUGAACCUUAUUAUUAUUACUAAAUAUAUAAAUUAUUUGUAAUAGACAUUUAUGUCAUUUUUA